rnacentral:rRNA from 1 species
UGGUGGGAUGUAAUGGGCGCAGCCUGAUGCAGCGACGCCGCGUGAGGGAUGACGGCCUUCGGGUUGUAAACCUCUUUCAGUAGGGAAGAAGCGAAAGUGACGGUACCUGCAGAAGAAGCGCCGGCUAACUACGUGCCAGCAGCCGCGGUAAUACGUAGGGCGCAAGCGUUAUCCGGAAUUAUUGGGCGUAAAGAGCUCGUAGGCGGUUUGUCGCGUCUGCCGUGAAAGUCCGGGGCUCAACUCCGGAUCUGCGGUGGGUACGGGCAGACUAGAGUGAUGUAGGGGAGACUGGAAUUCCUGGUGUAGCGGUGAAAUGCGCAGAUAUCAGGAGGAACACCGAUGGCGAAGGCAGGUCUCUGGGCAUUAACUGACGCUGAGGAGCGAAAGCAUGGGGAGCGAACAGGAUUAGAUACCCUGGUAGUCCAUGCCGUAAACGUUGGGCACUAGGUGUGGGGGACAUUCCACGUUUUCCGCGCCGUAGCUAACGCAUUAAGUGCCCCGCCUGGGGAGUACGGCCGCAAGGCUAAAACUCAAAGGAAUUGACGGGGGCCCGCACAAGCGGCGGAGCAUGCGGAUUAAUUCGAUGCAACGCGAAGAACCUUACCAAGGCUUGACAUGGACCGGACCGGGCUGGAAACAGUCCUUCCCCUUUGGGGCCGGUUCACAGGUGGUGCAUGGUUGUCGUCAGCUCGUGUCGUGAGAUGUUGGGUUAAGUCCCGCAACGAGCGCAACCCUCGUUCCAUGUUGCCAGCGCGUAAUGGCGGGGACUCAUGGGAGACUGCCGGGGUCAACUCGGAGGAAGGUGGGGACGACGUCAAAUCAUCAUGCCCCUUAUGUCUUGGGCUUCACGCAUGCUACAAUGGCCCGGUACAAAGGGUUGCGAUACUGUGAGGUGAGCUAAUCCCAAAAAGCCGGUCUCAGUUCGGAUUGGGGUCUGCAACUCGA